CCCGGUGAGGCGGGGAGAUGCCCGCAGAGGGGCCGGGCUCCUCACGGGUGGGGGGGGACGAGGAGGAGGACGGAGAGGCGGUUGCAGCCCCGCACGGUGCUACCCCGGGAAAGCGCCGAGCUCCGCACCCUCCGCCCUAAGGUCUGACUCAAAUACAGGCCACGCUGCAGCUGCUGUGCUGCCUGCAUUUCUGCAGAGGCACUGCUGAAAUCUGCCCUCGUUUCUUACACUGAAAAGAUACAUUCACAACAACAAUUCCUGCCAACCUGGCAAGCAAGCAGGCAGAACAAGCAGUUACCAUCACACUGCCUCAGCAAAGGCACAGGAUCUGCAUCCAAGGAGACUUACUUGGCAACUUCACAACAGAGCCAGAGGAGCCAGUCCUGGAGCAAAUCCUUGUCUUUGCAGGACAGGAGGUCGCUCGCACUGGACAGUGACAUUGGGACUCCCUUGAGGCAGCCGAGGAACGCCGGGCUCAGUCCAGCAGCAUCGGCAGAGCUUGUCAGACCGUGACACCUAGUGGCUGCGAGCCACAGCAACGCUCAGACCUCAAACCGCCGCGCUCAGUUUCUAUCAGCAUCCAUACUAAGCAAGCAUCAAUUUCCAGUAGCUUUCCAAGGAGUGGGACCAUCUUUCCCUCCCUGCACCCAGCUCUUCCAAAAAGCAACUUCUAAACAGGAUGGCCACUGAGAAUUUGCAGACCUCAAGCUCGGUUUUGUCACCAAUGCCAUUUGGAAACGCUGGGCUCAAGAAGCAGCUGGGCAAUAGCACCACUGCCCCACCUCAGGUCACCCCCAUAGAUGGCUGCGUUGCAAACUAACCUGAGUUAAUUCUGCAGCUGUUUCUCCAUUUGUGCUGGAAAAAAAAACCUGUGCAGUUGCAGCGUU